rnacentral:precursor_RNA from 1 species
CGGCUGCAUUGGAUUGAGCCUUGGUAUGGAAACUUGCUAAGUGUUAACUUCCAAAUUCAGAGAAACCCUGGAAUUAAAAAUGGGCAAUCCUGAGCCAAAUCUUUCAUUUUGAGAAAAUGAGAUAUAUAAAUAUAAAAUAUCUCUUUUUUUAUAUUAAGAAAUAAAAUAUUUCUUAUCUAAUAUUAAAGAUAGGUGCAGAGACUCGAUGGAAGUUUUUCUAACGAAUAGAGUUUAUUAUAUUGCAUUACUAAAAUAUCUUUCUCGAAAUAAGAGAAAGGAUAGCCGUCUAUACCAAAAAAAGACGUACGUAUAUAUACUCAAUGAUCAAAUUAUUGAUCAUAAUAACAAUCAAAUCAUAUUUUUUAUGUCAAUAAAGAAAUUGACAAUGAUUAUAGAAUAACAAAUUCAGGAAUUUUUUAUGGAAUUCCAUAAAUUAUGAAUUAUUUAUGGUGAAUUGAUUCAAAUAUGAAGUUUAAUGAGAAAAAAACUCCAUUUUUUUUUAGUAAUCAAUUUAUUCUAUUUAUUUUAUUCAUUAUAGAGUUUGUUAGAUUGAAAAAAUGAUAAUAAAUCAAACGAGAAUAAAGAGAGAGUCCAUUCUACAUGUCAAUAUCGACAACAAUGAAAUUUAUAGUAAGAGGAAAAUCCGUCGAUUUUUAAUCAUGAGGGGUUCAAGUCCCUCUAUCCCCAAUAAAAAGCCCAUUUGAUUUUCGAAAUAUUUUUUCUUUAUUUUGAUUUAUCGAAAAAUUCAGAUAAAAUUCAUUAUCUUUUCUUUUUAAUUGAAUUCGUUCAAUUUUUUCAUUUCGCAAAUAGAUCAAUAGAUCUGAAAAAAAAUAUUUUUUAUGCUUAUAUAAUAAAAUAUAAGCAUAUGAAAAGAUUCUAAGCAUAUGCAAAGAAUCAUUAUUCUAUAAUGAAAUCAUUACCAAUCAUAUAAUUAUCUUAAACAUUGAUUAUUCAAUUUUUUGAAUAAAAUUUUUAUUUUAUUUGAGCUCCUUUAUUUAAUUGACUUAGAUACAAGGGCAUAGGUACGAGUAUUCUACUCGGGUGAUCCACAAGAAAUGGUCGGGAUAGCUCAGUUGGUAGAGC